CCUACGGGAGGCAGCAGUGGGGAAUAUUGCACAAUGGGGGAAACCCUGAUGCAGCGACGCCGCGUGAGUGAAGAAGUAUCUCGGUACGUAAAGCUCUAUUAGCAGGGAAGAAAAUGCCGGUACCUGACUAAGAAGCCCCGGCUAACUACGUGCCAACAGUCGCGGUAAUACGUAGGGGGCAAGCGUUAACCGGAUUUACUGGGUGUAAAGGGAGCGUUGACGGGAGCACAAGUCUCGAGUGAAAUCCCGGGGCUUAACCCCGGAACUGCUUUGGAAACUGUGCGGCUGGAGUGCAGGAGGGGUAGGCGGAAUGCCUGGUGUAGCGGUGAAAUGCGUAGAUAUUAGGAAGAACACCGGUGGCGAAGGCGGCUUACUGGACUGUAACUGACGUUGAGGCUCGAAAGCGUGGGGAGCAAACAGGAUUAGAUACCCCAGUAGUC
rnacentral:rRNA from 1 species